rnacentral:rRNA from 1 species
UACAGAGACUGCAAGCGUUAUUCGGAUUCACUGGGCGUAAAAGGGUGCGCAGGCGGCCAAGUGUGUGAGGCGUGAAAGCCCGGGGCUUAACCCCGGAAUUGCACCUCAAACUACAUGGCUAGAGCAUUGGAGAGGGUAGCGGAAUUCACGGUGUAGCAGUGAAAUGCGUAGAUAUCGUGAGGAACACCAGAGGCGAAGGCGGCUACCUGGACAAUUUGCU